rnacentral:rRNA from 1 species
UACGAAGGGAGCUAGCGUUGUUCGGAAUCACUGGGCGUAAAGCGCACGUAGGCGGAUGUGUCAGUCAGGGGUGAAAUCCCUCGGCUCAACCGGGGAACUGCGUCUGAGACUGAUGAGCUCGAGUGCAGGAGAGGAACGCGGAAUUCCAGGUGUAGCGGUGAAAUGCGUAGAUAUCUGGAGGAACACCGGUGGCGAAGGCGGCGUUCUGGACUGCAACUGACACUGAGGAACGAAAGCCAGGGGAGCAAACGGG